GUGGGGAAUAUUGGACAAUGGGCGAAAGCCUGAUCCAGCCAUGCCGCGUGUGUGAAGAAGGUCUUCGGAUUGUAAAGCACUUUAAGUUGGGAGGAAGGGCAGUAAGUUAAUACCUUGCUGUUUUGACGUUACCGACAGAAUAAGCACCGGCUAACUUCGUGUCAGCAGCCGCGGUAAUACGAAGGGUGCAAGCGCUAAUCGGAAUUACUGGUCGUACAGCGCGCGUAGGUGGUUUUGUAAGUUGGAGGUGAAAUCCCCGGGCUCAACCGGGGAACUGCCUCCAAAACUGCAUGACUAGAGUACGGUAGAGGGUAGUGGAAUUUCCUGUGUAGCGAUGAAAUGCGUAGAUAUAGGAAGGAACACCAGUGGCGAAGGCGACUACCUGGACUGAUACUGACACUGAGGUGCGAAAGCGUGGGGAGCAAACAGGAUUAGAAACCCCGGUAGUCC
rnacentral:rRNA from 1 species